UAAGCAGAUAGUGAAAUCUGGUGGCUCAACCAUUCAGACUAUUAUCUAAACUGCUAAGCUCGAGAACGUUAGGGGUAGCUGGAAUUUCUAGUGUAGGAGUGAAAUCCGUAGAUAUUAGAAAGAACACCGAUAGCGUAGGCAGGCUACUGGGGCGUUUCUGACACUAAGGCACGAAAGCGUGGGGAGCGAACCGGAUUAGAUACCCCGGUAGUCCACGCCGUAAACUAUGGAUGCUA
rnacentral:rRNA from 1 species